ACUUGUGCCCAGAGUUUGAUUUUCCACAGACCAGGUAGAGGCCAAGAGCCUCUCACAGACUCUGCAGCAGGGUUGCUAUGAUUAACUCUUAAGUACUCCACAACUACACGCUUUUGAAACUGGCGUUGGCAUAGCGUUAGUUCUGUGCAGGGCGGACGCAGCAGGACAGAAUCUCCCUGGGCAUCUUUUCGGAGCAUCAAUUUUACUGCAAAAUUUUGAAAAAACAAAUUUAAUUGAUUUCCAAGGUUUGUCAAGGAGGACAGAAACUCAGAGCACCCUGCACUUGGGGAUCGGCACUAGGAGCUGCUCUCUGGAUGGGGAGAUGGGAGCUAGCAGCUCACAAUGGGGUCACAAGACAGGAGUGUUAUUGGGAGAAUCCUGUUUUGUUGACAAAUACUGAGAUCAUCCAACUCACCAGGCAAAGUUGACUUGUGUAAGUGAUCUUCAGAUAUGAAAAGUGUGGAACCCAGCUGCUCCUCCUCAGAUAGGCGACAUGACAAUUGUAGGCCUGGAGGGAGAUGAGUUGACAACAUCCCUUCCCUAUAACCACUUGUUGGAUCUGAUCUCACAUACACAGACUCACUCCAAAGACUGACCUGGGUGUCUGCUUCUCAGCUUCAUUAACAGUGGGUGCUCACAAGUCUAGUAGUAACAGGAUCUUCUACACUGUAGCUGCUUCCAGUGUGAGCCAGACAAAUGUACUGAAUAUAGGCCUCAGAGGUGAUCCCACCACCUUCACAGCAAUGGUCCUUCCCCAGGAGCUUCCCCUGAGAAACGGGCCAUCCAGACCAUACUGCUGCUGAAUAAUGUCUCAUUGGAAAUCUCAACAUUCUUCAUUUAGAACACCACCGCCAAUAUCUACCAUAUGCCGGGAUUAUUGUGCAGGGUAAUUUUUAUUAUUACUUGAAUGUAUAUUUAUAUACUGCAGGAACUAUACAUGUUUAUGGCUAGAAUUACUGUUUUUCCUUAAUAUUAAGAUAGUAUUGGUAGAUUUAAUUAUCUGAAUUUAGUCAUUUGGCUCCAGUCAAAAUGGUUUCUCCUUAGCAGUACUCUGACUUUGUAAAAGUAAUCACAUUUGGAUUCUGUUUCCUCCAGUAGUUUUUAAAAUGAUUUUUUUGAUUAUUCAUAUAACUUUUUUUUAAUGAUCUUUUAAAAACUAGUAUGUGGUUAUAUAUUACUUGUUACACUUUUUGUUUUCUUUAUUUUUUGGUUGGUUACACCUUAAAUGAUUAUUUCUAUUGCCUUUUAAUGUUACUUAGAAAAUAUCACAUGUAAGACUUUUGCUUUUAUAAAGUUAGUAAUACAUUUUCAAGCCUAAACUCUUGAAAUUUUAAUAAUUUCUAUGAUAUUUGAAAAUUAUUUUUAUCUUCUUUUGAGUGCUAAAAGAUAAUAUUUGUCUACCUGAUUAACUAGCACAACUUUUAAAAAGUUAUUUAGCACUCUUUAUAUUCAUUCAUUUGUUUU
rnacentral:lncRNA from 1 species